rnacentral:rRNA from 1 species
UACGUAGGGGGCAAGCGUUGUCCGGAUUUAUUGGGCGUAAAGAGCGUGUAGGCGGCCAGGUAGGUCUGCUGUGAAAACUCGAGGCUCAACCUCGAGACGUCGGCGGAAACCAUCUGGCUAGAGUCCGGAAGAGGAGAGUGGAAUUCCUGGUGUAGCGGUGAAAUGCGCAGAUAUCAGGAAGAACACCCCGUGGCGAAGGCGGCUCUCUGGGACGGUACUGACGCUGAGACGCGAAAGCGUGGGGAGCGAACAGG